UAGCGGAGCUGUUUAGUGGCUGUAGAAUUAUGCAUAGAAACACAGAAAUGCCCGGCCAUGGAAGGCAGGGCAAGGAGAAAUCGAGCCAUGGAGGGCGAGUUUCGACGGUUUCGUCGAGCAUAGAAAAUGUAAAAAGCAUAAUUCGUACAGCCACUUAACAGCAAAGCGU
ncrna:unclassified sequences TwoGGAY RNA